rnacentral:rRNA from 1 species
UACAGAGGUCCCGAGCGUUGUUCGGAUUCAUUGGGCGUAAAGGGUGCGUAGGCGGCGGGGCAAGUCUGAUGUGAAAUCCUGGGGCUCAACCCUGGAACUGCAUUGGAUACUGCCUUGCUAGAGAACUGGAGAGGAGACUGGAAUUUACGGUGUAGCAGUGAAAUGCGUAGAGAUCGUAAGGAAGACCAGUGGCGAAGGCGAGUCUCUGGACAGUUACUGACGCUGAGGCACGAAGGCCAGGGGAGCAAACGGGG